UACGGAGGGGGCUAGCGUUGUUCGGAAUUACUGGGCGUAAAGCGCACGUAGGCGGCUUUGUAAGUUAGAGGUGAAAGCCCAGGGCUUAACCCUGGAAUUGCCUUUAAGACUGCAUCGCUAGAAUCGUGGAGAGGUGAGUGGAAUUCCGAGUGUAGAGGUGAAAUCCGUAGAUAUUCGGAAGAACACCAGUGGCGAAGGCGACUCACUGGACACGUAUUGACGCUGAGGUGCGAAAGCGUGGGGAGCAAACAGG
rnacentral:rRNA from 1 species